CCUACGGGAGGCAGCAGUGAGGAAUAUUGGUCAAUGGGCGGGAGCCUGAACCAGCCAAGCCGCGUGAGGGAAGAAGGUACAGCGUAUCGUAAACCUCUUUUGUCAGGGAACAAAGGCGGGCACUAGUCCCCGGCUGAGGGUACCUGAAGAAAAAGCAUCGGCAAACUCCGUGCCAGGAGCCGCGGUAAUGCGGAGGGUGCGAGCGUUAUCCGGAUUUAUUGGGUUAAAAGGGUGCGCAGGCGGCCUGUUAAGUCAGGGGUAAAAGCCCGGGGCACAACCCCGGCGAGCCGUUGAAACUGGCGGGCUGGAGUGGGAGAGAAGUACGCGGAAUGCGCGGUGUAGCGGUGAAAUGCUUAGAUAUCGCGCAGAACCCCGAUUGCAAAGGCAGCGUACCGGCUCCACACUGACGCUGAGGCACGAAAGCGUGGGUAUCGAACAGGAUUAGAUACCCCAGUAGUC
rnacentral:rRNA from 1 species